UAGUGGUUGGCAAUUUUACUUUGAAAAAAUUAGAGUGCUCAAAGCAGGCUGAACGCCUGGAUAAUGGUGCAUGGAAUAAUGGAAUAGGACCUUGGUUCUAUUUUGUUGGUUUCCGGAACUGAGGUAAUGAUUAAGAGGGACAGACGGGGGCAUUUGUAUUGCGGCGCUAGAGGUGAAAUUCUUGGAUCGUCGCAAGACAAACUACUGCGAAAGCAUUUGCCAAGAAUGUUUUCAUUAAUCAAGAACGAAAGUUAGAGGUUCGAAGGCGAUCAGAUACCGCCCUAGUUCUAACCAUAAACGAUGCCAACUAGCGAUCCGCCUGAGUUCUAUUUUUGACUCGGCGGGCAGCUUCCGGGAAACCAAAGUUUUUGGGUUCCGGGGGAAGUAUGGUUGCAAAGCUGAAACUUAAAGGAAUUGACGGAAGGGCACCACCAGGGGUGGAGCUUGCGGCUUAAUUUGACUCAACACGGGGAAACUUACCCGGCCCGGACACCGGAAGGAUUGACAGAUUAAGAGCUCUUUCUUGAUUCGGUGGGUGGUGGUGCAUGGCCGUUCUUAGUUGGUGGAGUGAUUUGUCUGGUUAAUUCCGAUAACGAACGAGACUCUAGCCUAUUAAAUAGACGUUCGAUCACUUUUGUGUCGGACGGUCUUCUUAGAGGGACAGGCGGCUUUUAGCCGCAUGAGAAAGAGCAAUAACAGGUCUGUGAUGCCCUUAGAUGUCCGGGGCCGCACGCGUGCUACAAUGAAGGAAUCAGCGUGUUUAUUCCUAAUCCGAAAGGACGGGGUAAUCCGUUGAAACUCCUUCGUGCUUGGGAUAGGGGCUUGUAACUAUUCCCCUUGAACGAGGAAUCCCCAGUAAGCGCGAGUCAUCAACUCGCGUUGAUUACGUCCCUGCCCUUUGUACACACCGCCCGUCGCUACUACCGAUUGAGAGAUUCAGCGAGGACUUCGGACUGGCCUACGGG
rnacentral:rRNA from 1 species